rnacentral:lncRNA from 1 species
UUUUGUUUAUCUUGGGAGAAUUAGAUUAUCUUGAGAGAUUAAUUUGUAGUAACCAUGUGUAGUAAAAGUAAAUGACGAAUAUAAUCUUAAGGAAAGAGUGGUUAACCAUUCGAUUUGGGUCUGUCUUAUCCCAAUAGUAACCAUGUGUAGUAAAAGUAAGGGGCGAAUAUAUUCUUACGGAAAGAGUGGUCAACCAUUCGAUUCAGGUGGUAAGUAAUAUUGUUGUUCUAUAUCAAACUACAAAGCGGGUUACAACAAUCUUAAGACUACAAUAACAAUGGAG